AAAUUGAAGAGUUUGAUCAUGGCUCAGAUUGAACGCUGGCGGCAGGCCUAACACAUGCAAGUCGAACGGUAACAGGAAGCAGCUUGCUGCUUCGCUGACGAGUGGCGGACGGGUGAGUAAUGUCUGGGAAACUGCCUGAUGGAGGGGGAUAACUACUGGAAACGGUGGCUAAUACCGCAUAACGUCGCAAGACCAAAGAGGGGGACCUUCGGGCCUCUUGCCAUCAGAUGUGCCCAGAUGGGAUUAGCUUGUUGGUGAGGUAACGGCUCACCAAGGCGACGAUCCCUAGCUGGUCUGAGAGGAUGACCAGCCACACUGGAACUGAGACACGGUCCAGACUCCUACGGGAGGCAGCAGUGGGGAAUAUUGCACAAUGGGCGCAAGCCUGAUGCAGCCAUGCCGCGUGUAUGAAGAAGGCCUUCGGGUUGUAAAGUACUUUCAGCGGGGAGGAAGGUGUUGCGGUUAAUAACCGCAGCAAUUGACGUUACCCGCAGAAGAAGCACCGGCUAACUCCGUGCCAGCAGCCGCGGUAAUACGGAGGGUGCAAGCGUUAAUCGGAAUUACUGGGCGUAAAGCGCACGC
rnacentral:rRNA from 3 species